rnacentral:ncRNA from 1 species
UUUCCUCAGGAUAGCCGAAGUACGUAAUGAAGCUGUUAGAUUCGGUAAAGCAAAUGAUGAGAGAAAGGUACGAGAUGUCUUCAGCCUGUUCUCAAACUUUCAAUGGGUAUGACGUUUUGCUUGCUUGAAUGAAGCAUAGAUAUUGGAUGUUUGUUGCAAGGGGUCAUUUUUGGUAGGACCAAAUCAACUAGCGCUGAGAAUGGACGACGCUUGAGCAGAAG